ACAAGUGUAUAUAGUGCCCUAAAGGUGAAAACAGUCUAAUUAUUGGUCAUUUAUAUUCCCCUGUGCAAUGUUAUUUCUCACAUGUAGCCAUUUAUUUUGGUAUAGUUACUGCCCAGGGCACAAGAAUAGGUAGAACUUUGGCAAGUGGAACAUAUUAAAGUCCAGAGUUGGCCCGUUGUUACUGUCUUCACAUUUAUUGUGUUUAGUGCCGAUCUUUUCUUCACAUCCACUGUUUUGGUUUUUUGAAUUGGCCACUUGUUGGCCUCUUGGCACUAGGAGGAAGAGUGAUUCCAUGGGCAGCUCUCUGAGAACUUCCUAUUGGAACAGAUUAUAGAGCAAAUUAGUUGAUUUUGAAAAGGAGAAUUGCUGUUUGCAAGCAAAGGAAAAAGAGGGGGAAAGCACAGGACUUGCUGGUGAUGUUGCAAUAGGAAAAGUCAGUUGUUAGUCCGGUUUUAGUGUUGAAUUGGCAGCUUGCCUGGGCUUAAAAAAUUAAAAUCACUAGGUGGCAACUCUCAUAGGAAGCAGUUGGAGUGGAGCUUUAGAGGACCUGACCUACACUUGUUCUUAGUUUUCAUUCUCUGGGUGUGGAUACAUUUCCCAUAAAGGGUUUCUAAAUCUAUGUGAAAACAGCAUGCUAAUUAUUGGUAAUUUCUCUAUAGAGGAUGAGUACGUGUGUAAAUGUUUCACUGGGCAACUGGGUCUGGACUGAGAUGCACUUAAUUUAGUAACCUGGACGCAGUUUCUGUUGUGUUUGUUAUUUUCUGCUGGGACAUCUUCAUUAUCAGGUUUGACCAUGAAGAUCUAAGACCUCUACCAUCUUGAUGUGCAGAGGAGUAAUAGAUUUGGUUGUAUGUGAUUCUCACCAAUCAAAUUAUUCGGGACUGUUAGGGGUGCCAUUUUUUUAAACCGCUCUAACCAUUCAGGGGAUGCUGAAGUGGCUAGCUCAUCUGAAACUCUGCCUGCCUGUUUGGAGUAGAGACUGAAGUUUUUAAUUCAGUCAGAUCUUGAUUCAUCUGGGACAGUUUAAAAAUCCAAUCAUCAGAAGGUUCAGGACUCAUCCAGUGGGCCUUUGUUGUUGUUGUGUGUUUUUUUUUUUUUAACAAAGCUUAUAUCAGGCUGCUUAAGAAAUGAAAAUACAUUUAAAAAUUAUUAGACAAUUAUCCUUUGUCUUUGGUUACAUUAUUUCCUACCAAGAAAAGGUGUUUUGCAAUUACAUCCAUACGAAACUCCUCGUCAAUGAGGUUAAAUUGAGAAGAAAUGUGUAGAUAACUUGAUUGUAUGAAGUAUAGUGGAACCUCGUUUCUGGAACUUAAUGGAAGGCUGUUAAAGAAGCGAUUUGUUUGAAAACUGAAUAAUUUUUCCCCAUUAGAAAUAAUGUAAAUUGAAUUAAACCCACUCCAGACCCCCAAA